ACUCCUACGGGAGGCAGCAGUGGGGAAUAUUGCACAAUGGGCGCAAGCCUGAUGCAGCCAUGCCGCGUGUGUGAAGAAGGCCUUCGGUUGUAAAGCACUUUCAGUCGUGAGGAAGGUAGUGUAGUUAAUAGCUGCAUUAUUUGACGUUAGCGACAGAAGAAGCACCGGCUAACUCCGUGCCAGCAGCCGCGGUAAUACGGAGGGUGCGAGCGUUAAUCGGAAUUACUGGCGUAAAGCGCAUGCAGGUGGUUUGUUAAGUCAGAUGUGAAAGCCCGGGGCUCAACCUCGGAAUAGCAUUUGAAACUGGCAGACUAGAGUACUGUAGAGGGGGUAGAAUUUCAGGUGUAGCGGUGAAAUGCGUAGAGAUCUGAAGGAAUACCGGUGGCG
rnacentral:rRNA from 1 species